AGGAUGCUAGGAUGCAAUUGAUGAUGAGAUCUCAUGAUACUUGGCCCGAUCAAGAUGGAUGCUGGUACACUGUCCAGCGAUCACAGAUCAAGAUCGAUUACUAAGCUCUAUCAAAAACAUCAAAACAAAACCCUUUACUUGAUCAAUCUUAGAGAGAUAUGAUUCAUAGAGGAGCAAUAAUUUUAGAGAGAGAAAGUGAGACUUUUAGAGAGAGAAAGUAAAGAGAGAAACUAGAGAA
rnacentral:lncRNA from 1 species